GCAUAGCGAUACUUAAAAGACAUUUAAUAUAACAAAAUUUUUUAAUUGAAAAAAGCUUUCGUACAACUCCAAAAAUUCUAAAAAUUAUUUAAUAGUAAAUCUAAUGUGGAUGAUUUUCACAUUCCAAAUAAAGCGAUCCAACAAUUUUCUAAUUAUUACAUGCAAAAAGAUAUGAUUAAGUUUUUCAAAUUGGGUUAUGCAAUAGUUCUCUUUCUUUGCUUCUUUAUUGUUGUAACUGACACAUACAUUUUGAAUUGUACGCUUCCUAAAUAUCCAAUUUGCAAUUCAAGUGGUAAGUGUCACUGCAGUUAAGUUUAAAAAUGAUGCUUUACUUGUCACAUGACAAACUAAUAAGCAUGUUUCUUGUGUUAUCCUAGUUUUGUAACCUUUGUUCUAUUUUAGAAUAAAAGGAAAGCAUAAAUAUCACCAGACAAAUUACAUUGUAAAUGUAAACUAUGCAAAUGAAUACAUAAGUAUUCUUUUAUUCUGCUUUUGCUUUUAGCAUAA